UACGGGGGGGGCAAGCGUUGUUCGGAAUUACUGGGCGUAAAGAGCUCGUAGGUGGUUUGUCGCGUUGUCCGUGAAAACUCACAACUCAAUUGUGGGCGUGCGGGCGAUACGGGCAGACUGGAGUACUGCAGGGGGAGACUGGAAUUCCUGGUGUAGCGGUGGAAUGCGCAGAUAUCAGGAGGAACACCGGUGGCGAAGGCGGGGUCUCUGGGCAGUAACUGACGCUGAGGAGCGAAAGCGUGGGGGAGCGAACAGGA
rnacentral:rRNA from 1 species